UACAGGGGGGGCAAGCGUUGUUCGGAAUUACUGGGCGUAAAGGGCCAGUAGGCGGCUAACUAAGUCCGACGUGAAAUCCCCAGGCUUAACCGGGGAACUGCGUCUGAUACUGGAUGGCUUGAAUCCGGGAGAGGGAUGCGGAAUUCCCAGUGUAGAGGUGAAAUUCGUAGAUAUUGGGAAGAACACCGGUGGCGAAGGCGGCGCUCUGGACCGAGACUGACGCUGAGGCGCGAAGGCGUGGGGAGCAAACAGG
rnacentral:rRNA from 1 species